CUGAUGUGAGAGUCUAUAAAAUUUGCACCACCAAAAUAUUUGUGCAUCUGUGCAAAAUUGUUGAAAAGUGAUAUUCAGUUGUUGCCUUCUAACACUUAACUAUUUGUUUGGCAGGUUCAGUCAUUUUUUACAUCACUGGGAGCAUUGUCUCGUAAACAAUUUCAUGAUGGCUCAUAUGAAACGACUGAGCAGGCAAAUGCUAAAUGAUAACCACUCACUCAAUGAUAACCAAACACCAGUUUGGAGUUGUUGUGGUUAUCACCAAUCAAGUAGUGGCACAAGUGGAUGGGUCUGCGAUGUUUGCUGGGCCACAAGUGGAUUUCUUGUAUACUGAAUUUGAAUCAUGAAGAUGAAGGAUAAGAAGAGGCGAUGUCUUCGACUGGUUGGAGAGCCAACCUGGGCGUCAAAGAAGAGGCGGCAGACCAAUGAGGCAGAUCACGGGGCGUCGGCGAGGCGGCAGACCUCGGGGCAUCGGUGUUGGCAACCAGUGUUAUCACGGGGCAUCGGCGAGGCGGCAGACCUCGGGCGUCGGCGAGGCGGCAGACCUCGGGGCGUCGGUGUUGGCAACCAGUGUUUGCCAAGAAGGCAGACGUCGGAGAAGAGAUGGCAGACCACUGGGCGGCGAGGUGGUUGCCGUACGGAAGGCAUCGGAGAAGAGAUGGCAGCGUAAGAGUGAGAAGAGACGGCAGCGUGAGGGGAGAGAUGAUUUCCUAUUCCGCCCAGCUGAUUCAUAGGGAUACGUCUGGGCUGAUUGGUUUCCUUGUACGUCUGCGCUGAUUGGUUUCCUUGUAUGUCUAGGCUGAUUUUUUUCCUUGUAUGUCUCGGCUGAUAGCUGAUUGACUGCUGGAUUGCAUGCUGAUUGAUUGCUGGAUUCCUUGUA